ensembl:lncRNA
AAAAUAUUAGGCAGUCAUUAAGAACAUGUUAUAGAAAAAAAUUAUCGACCUGAAGAAAAUAUUUGCACAUUAUUGAAUAUAAAGAAAAGCAUGAAAAAAGCCACCUAAGAAUAUGUGCAAAUUCUGUAAAAGGAAAGAAAUACUCUUUGACUCAAAAUUUUUGCUUCUGGGAAUUUAUCUAAGAAAAUACUAAAGAAUGGGUGCAAAGACUCCAAGUCCAUCUUCAUCCAACAAUUGUAUUUAACAGCAUAAAAAUUAGAAACAACCUAUAAGUCCAAAAAUAUGGGAUUGAAUUUCUGUUUGCAAUCAAGAUAGAGUAACAAAAUGUGUUCUCUGACCACAAUGGAAUUAAAUUAGAACUCAGUAACAGAAAGUUAUCUGGACAAACCCCAAAUAUUUGGAAAUUAAAUUAUAUACUUUUAAAUAACCCAUAGGUCAAAAAAGAAAUCAAAAGUGAAAUUAGAAAAAAAUUUUAACUGACUAAAAAUGAAAAUAUAACAUAAGAAAAUAUAUGGUAUACUGUUAAAGCAGUAAUUAGGGAGAAUAUUUUUACUCUAAGCACCUGUAUUAAAAAACACCUAUCGUAAAAAGGAGGAAAGAUCUCGAGUCAAUGACAUCAGCUUCCACCUUAAAAAACAAGAAAAAUUUCAAAUUCCUUAAAAGAGACAAACUACUUAUUCAAGAAGAAGUAGAUAACCUAGAAUCUAGAACGUCUGUAUCUAUUAAAGACAUUAAGUUUGGAGUUUUAAACCUUCCCACAAAGAAAAUUCCAUUCUCAGAUGCCUUCACUGGUGAAUCUUAUCAAAUAUUUAAGGAAGAAAUAAUAUUUCAACACAAACUCUUCCAGAAAAUUGAAGAUGUCUCAACUCAUUCUAUGAGGCCAGCAUUACUAUGCUACUAAAACCAGAAAAAGAUAUUAUAAGAAAACUACAGGGGGCUGGCCCCGUGGCUGAGUGGUUAAGUGCAUAUAAUCUGCUUCAGUGGUCUAGGGGUUCAUCGCUUCAGAUCCAGGGCACAGACCUACACUGCUCAUUAAGCCAUGCUAUGGUGGCAUCCCACACAGAAGAAGUAGAAUCACUUACUGCUAGGAUAUGCAACUAUGUACUGGGGCUUUGGGGAGGAAAAAAACAGGGGGAAGAUUGGCAACAGAUUUUAGCUCAGGGCCAAUCUUCCUCACCAAAAAAGAAAGAAGAAGAAGAAGAAAAAAGAAAACUGCAGAACAAUAACAAUACUGUUCAUGAACAUAGAGACACAAUUCUUACAAAUUUUAACAAAUCAAAUCUAACACUAUAUUAAAAGGAUAAUACAUCGUGACUAAGUGGGGCUUAUCUCAGGAAUGCAAAGUUAGUUUAAUGCUCAAAAACCAACCAAUGUAAUUCACAUGUUAACAGACUAAAAAACAAUCUGAUCAUCACACUAGAUGAAGAAAAAGCAUUUGACAAGUACGCAACAUCUGCUCCUGAUAAAAACACUUGGCAAGCUAGGAAUAGAGGAAUAUUCUCAACCUGAUAAAGGGCAACUACAAAAACUAUGCUGCUAACAUCAUACUUAAUGAUGAAAGACUUUCUCCUAAGAUGAGGAAACAGGCAAGAAUGUCUACUCUCACCACUUCUAUUCAACAUGGUACUGGAGGUUUUAGGCAGUCCGACCGGGCAAGAAAGAGAAAUAAAAGACAUCCAGACUGGAAAUGAGCAAUGUUACCCAAAGAUUAUGUGACCAUUCAGAAGUUCCCCCGACCAGUCAGGAAAAAUUGUACACUUUUAAGGGCCUGUGGAGGAAAACCACUGAAGAGCAGAGGGAAGAGAAGGGAGGCACUGACUUCUGGCAAAUACCAGUUCUGCACCAACUAGCUGUGGGACUCUUUCUCUCUCAAUCUCCUCAUCUGUAAGGGUGGUAAUAAGGGAUCUUUAAAGUGUCUUACAGCUUUAAAAAUCUAUCAUUUCAACUCUUAUUUGAAUAAAAUCCAAUACAUUUGGAGAAAAUAAAAGGUAUUUUCAGUAUUCCAAGGUAUGACGAAGCUGGUUAAGGACAUUUUAGAUUGUUAAUGUCUUAGAACAGAUUUCUUGACAUAAAUUCAAACUGGAUAUUGUUGGAGGCUGCCAUUGAGAGGACAUGACUGCCAAUUGACCUGCAAGCUGGACUUGGGCAAUUGGAAGCUCCUCACACCCUCCCCUAUCCUUGGAUUGUACAUUCUGCCCACUGUUCCCAAAGUGGGAGCCAUUUUUAAGGAUGUAUCCUUGAGAGAGCAGUGUGUUAUUGAGACCAUCUGGAUGGCAUACAUGGCUGAACCUAGUGAAGGCCUCUGUAUAAACUUUUAAGAUUCUGGUGGGCAAGUAUGGAGAUCUACUCAUCCUGCAGCCACCCAAGACAAGCCUUGUGAGUAAGUUCCUGUGCUUGUUAAUCCUGCCCCCUACCAAUCUGGAGUGCUCUGCUUCUUUCUUAGUCCUUGCUCUUUAUGUACAGGGGUGUUCACAAACCAACAGAUGUAUAGUAUUUUUCUUAUUGAGAUUUCAAUUUUUAUAACACAUACGAUCCGUUAUUGUAAUAUACAAGAAGUUGGUAAUAUAUUUACAAAUUUAUUUCUCAG